rnacentral:misc_RNA from 1 species
GAAAUGCGAUACGUGAUGCGAAUCGCAAAGAUCGGCGAGUCAUCCAACUUUCGAACGCAAUCUGCGCUCUCAGUGCUCCUGAGAGCACGUUCGUUCGAGCGUUGCCCUUUAUUCAUUUUUUUUAUUAAUUUUUAUUUAAUUAAUAAGAAAGACAUUGGAUAUUUAUUGUGUCUUUGUUAUAUUUUAUAUAUCAUCAAAGAAACAUUAUCCUGAGUAUAAAUAUAUAUAAUACUAUAUUACUUUUAUUAUUAUUAUAAUAAAUUAUAUAUAUAUAUACUUUUUAGUAGUGAAGAGGAUUCAUUUCUCUCUUAUAAACUCUAAAAAUAUAUUAUAUUAUGUUCUUUAUUAUAUAAAAUAAUAAUAAAUUUAUUUUGGAACAACCUCGAAUCGAGCGUCAUCA